UAGAGUUUGAUCAUGGCUCAGGAUGAACGCUGGCGGCGUGCCUAAUACAUGCAAGUCGGACGAGGUGCCUUUGUAGCAAUACGAGGGUAUCCUAGUGGCGAACGGGUGAGUAACGCGUUGGUGACCUGCCCCGAAGUGUGGGAUACCAGUCCGAAAGGACUGCUAAUACCGCAUGUGGUCAUCGGUUUCAGAAACCGAUGUCGAAAGCAGUAAUGCGCUUUGGGAGGGACCUGCGUCCCAUCAGCUAGUUGGUAGGGUAACGGCCUACCAAGGCUUCGACGGGUAGGGGACCUGAGAGGGUGACCCCCCACAAUGGAACUGAAAUACGGUCCAUACACCUACGGGUGGCAGCAGUAGGGRAWWWUUGCACAAUGGACGAAAGUCUGAUGCAGCAACGCCGCGUGCACGAUGAAGGCCUUCGGGUCGUAAAGUGCUUUUCUGAGAGAUGAGAAAGGACAGUAUCUCAGGAAUAAGUCWCGGCUAACUACGUGCCWGCCGCCGCGGKAAUAC
rnacentral:rRNA from 1 species